ACAAGUACUACCGCUAAUAUGACUACUACUAUCACUUCUACCACUAUUCAUCUUACUACUACUACCACUAAAACGUCUCCAACCUCUUACUUAAAUCCUCCUAGGGAUCUUUGGGGUCCUAUCAGUUGUAUUUUUGCUGUCAUUUUCACAUUCAUUAUGCUGGUAUGACAAUAAUUUUUAUGUGUUAAUUUUUUAAAAUGAAUUUCUAUUUCCCACAAUGUGUGGAUUAAGUUAACCACUGUGUUAACCACCUUGUCGGGUGAAGUGUGAAAUUUCCGAGUGUCCCUGAACGCCUCAAGCAUUUCUAACGGGACUCCGCCUUGGCUCGCGCUAUCCUGCUGCAUCUUACAGAAGGGUGAGUCAGAGCUGAGUCUCUGUCAACGUCUAAACGUUAAAAAUUGGGAUUUAAUCUUUCAAAGUGGCACUGGUUUGAGUUAUAAUCGAUGAAGAGUUUAUUCAUGAUUGAAGUGGUCGAGAUGUUGACUUGAAAACGCUUACGCUAACAGUGUUAGCGUCGAGCUAGCGGAGUUAGCAUCGAGCUAGCGGAGUUAGCGUCAAGCUAGCGGAGUUAGCGUCGAGCUAAGGCUAACACACUGUCAUUUAUGGGGCUGAAUCAUUAGCCAGCUGAGAAACGCACAAAAUAAAUUGAUGUGCAGUUUGUAGAGUUUACUGACAUUUGGACUGAAGGGGAUACUAAUAUUGUCAAGUAUUAACUUACUACUGAAGCUAGCGCUGUUGCUACAGGUAGUAGACAGACAGUUCAUUACUGUGACUGAGUCAUAGCUGGGGAAUUGGUCUGGAGACGUCAGCUGUUUAGCUCCUGGUCACUUUUUAUCAGCCAUUGUAGAUGUAUUAAAAUAUAGGCUGCAUUUAGCAAGCAUGCAGUUAUAACACAAAUGUGAGUGGUUUUUCUUUUUUUAUGUGUCAGAAUGACACUAGAUGGUCCUCUAUUAUUGUAGGUGUUAUUCAUGAUGGGGUUGAUAGAGAUAUUUACAUUGCAGACCAUAAAAUUAAUUCAGUAGUUAAUGUUCUACAGUAUGAAGUUCUAAUUAAUACAAGUUCUUACUGAAUUUCACUUUAGGGAUCAAUAAAGUUCUUCUUAUCUUAAUAUUGAGUUAAUGGGUGGAUAGUUAGCUGCCUUAAAGUUGGUGAACUGGCUCCUGGCCUGUCUCUGUCUCACUGGCUGCUGCUGUACCUCACAUUAUACUGUACCCAAUUUACCUUUGAUCACAAGCUGUUAAUUUGGAUAUUGGUGAUGUGCUAACACCACAGCAAAGAUAUUUUAUCUGAGGUGUAAAUACUUUAAUACAGUAUGUAUUAUGAGACAUUUUCAGCUACAGCUAACAGCCAAGUGAUCUGUUGGCUGUUUAGUUUUCAAUUAGCCCAAUUACUGUAAUAAUGUUAGUUUUCUUUACAGGCCAGUUGUUUUUAGUGUGCUAUCUGUCAGAAAACACUAAUGUAUUGUUUCUUGUCUCAAACAAACAGAAGAUACACCCGCUCCAGUGCAUUUGUUGGUAAGUAUAAGUGUUUUAACCAAGACUGACAACAAACAAAAUAAGAAUAACUGGAUUAAUGUUGAGCUUAAUCCUGUUAAACAACGUGAUAUUCUAGAUAAUGUACAACAUAUGAUGCAUUUUUCAAAUACUGAGUUUAAAUUGAUAUUAGGCCUGUCGCGAUAAUCAAUAAAUCGCCUUAUCGCUCGGUAAAUAAAAACGAGGUCGGUCAUUUUGCCAGCCUCGAUAAUUGACGUGCGUUUGUUUUCCUCCUCUCUCGCUACCAAACACGCUGGAUGAGAGAAGAGGUCUCACUCUGCGCAUUUUUCUCGGCACCUGGGGGCGUUGGCUCUAUAGCGGAAUGAACGGAGUUAGUGAACCCUCCUGUCAGUCAUUCAGUGUCUUUGUUACGAGGGGGCUGGCGCGCACAGGCACACAGACACAGACUUUUGGAUACAGUGCUGCAAGUAAGCGUCGUGAGUGAAAAGCAAGCGAACAGAAUGAACACGACAGCUUUGGUGUCUAAACCGAACGCAACAGCCCAAGUGUAGGAAUAUUUCGGCUUUAAACCAGUUUUGUUUUCGUGAACCACAAAACUCCACGUGUGUGCGCACGCGUGUGUCUGUGUGUUGGAGGAGCACAGCAGGCUGAUGACAGCUGUCAGAGCGGACUGAAGCUGCUCCUAUAUGUUUAGCGUUUAACUGACUGAGUUUUGCAACUCUAUUCGUCAUUUUCGUGUCGUCCCAUCAACGUAAACGCACUUUCGUCUUGUCACAUUUUAGUCAUCUCCGACUUAUGUUUAGCUCGUCAACGUUACGUCUUCGUCGUGGGUGAAAUUAAAGUUUAUCACUUUUGACACGGUGUACUCGCAUUAUUAUGCCAUUUCAUAUCAUUAUCUAUAAUUCAAAAAAACGGUGUCAAUAAUAUCGUUUAUCGGCGAUAAUUUGUAGCACAAUUAUCGUCCAGCAAAAUUUGUUAUCGUGACAGGCCUAAUUGAUAUGAAAUGUUGAUUUAUCUGUAACACUGUUGUAUAUCCUAUAUGAAUAUCAUAGAUGGGAUACAGUUUUUUCCUAGUAGACAAUAGUGUGCUAACAAUAUUACAACAGUACUAAAUUAUUUUUUGUAAACAUUUUAAUUUGCUGGGAAAUGCUGAAUCUUGAUUUUGACAAUAAUUAAGUGGGAAAAUCAUUCAGGAAAUUUUUCUUUAAAUGAAUUGAGCUGUGAGGGAGGUUCUUUUGAGUGUAUUAAAAAUCUCUUUUCCUCCCUCUCCCCCUCCUCUUGCCUCAUCUUGUCCUUUGACCUCGUGCCCUACCAACUCUGAAGUGUAAGUUUACACUUGUAUACUUAUUAAGCAAUCAAUUAAGUGUUGCAUUUUUGCUCUGCAGUUUAUAAUGACAUUUCACCGUUUUGUAUUUCACCUCAAUAACAUACAUAACAAAGUAAAGAGAGGGCCUUCGUUGUGUUCGUGCAUUUUCUCUCCAUCUUAACAAACAUUUUUUACAGGCCAAGGGAGCUGCAGUAACAUCCUUUUACCAAUCAAGGGCUACAAAUUGUAGACUUUGAUAAGAAAUGAGAAAACUAAUGAUCCACACUGAAAAGCGGUGUGAUUACAGUAAACUAUGAGUUACUGAUUUUUUUUGCAACUAAAUUUAUUUAUUUUUUGUCCCUCUGUCUUAUCCCUCCUUCUGAACUCCUCAAAUCUACCUCUACUGCGGGCCCAGUUCAACGUUGGCGACUCAGCUGUAAGUUCACAAAUAAAGUAACUCAAAAAUAUUUACAGUCACUUUUUACAACACAUCAUGUGAAAACCCGACAUUAUGUCCUUAUUUGACAAACUGCAGCACAUUCUCAUUGUAACACAAACCAUUUUAGAUAACACUUUAUUUAAACUAAUGCAGAACCAAAUGGAAAUAAUUUUGCUGGCUGAUUACUGUUGGAACUACAAUGCAGUGAGAUGUGCUGAUUCUGUACAACUAAACUAAAAAUCUCUUGUCUCUGUUUUUCCAUUUUCCUUCUUGCCAACUCUAUCCUGUCUCCAAGUGCAGACCGCUUUGUGGCGACUCGACGUAAGUUCACACAGGAAUGACAUUUUCAUGAGUAAUACAGUGUGCCUUUAUUCAACAUGUUAUAGACCCCACAUCAUGUACUAACUUAACAUUUUUUUCCCCCUUGGUUUUGUAAUACUCACAGUUGGAAAUUAACAGCUUGAAUGUAAUAUGCAAUACACUUCUUUGGAUUUUAUUUCCAAUCAUUGGAAAGCAAUUUGUUGCUAUUAAAUUGUGGAGUUGUAAUUUUUUAAUGAUGAAAAUCCAAAUAAUUUCUAAUUGAAUGUGAUUCCCUUCUUUGUGUAUCUCUUAUAUUAAAAAAACAAGCUAAUUAAAUUUAACUUAAUAUGGAAUUAAGACAUUAUUCGACACCACCAUUGAUUUAUUUCAUUAUUCAUUUAAUCCUAGGUUUAGAAAUGUGUAUAUCCUUCUAAGGUACCUUGCAUGCUACUGUUUACAGCUUAUGGAGGUGCUUGGCCUCAUUACAACGUAUUGCAUUGUUGGAAUACUUAAAACACAGUAAAGGAAAUUACAUUUUCCAAAAUGCAUCAUAUUUUAUCAGCAGAGUAAUCCAAUGUUAUUAUUGCGUAGCAGGACAUGGUUAUGAACAUUAUAAAGGGAACUUAAAAUAAAGAGUCUAAAAUGCACAGGAAUAAUCCAUCUUUUUAUAAAACAAUUUGAGGUCCUAAAUUUAAAUAGUUGGCUCUGUGGUUGGAUUCAAGUUGGAUUCACUAAAGCAGGCAUGUCCAAACUAUUCCACAAAGGGCCGGUGUGGCUGCAGGUUUUUCUUCCAACCAAUCAAGAGCACGCAGUCUGACCAAUCAGCUGUCUGAAGACUGAGAUCAGCUGAUGAAAUGAAUCAAGUCUGGUGUGCUGCUGCUUGGUUGGAAGAAAAACCUGCAGCCACACCGGCCCUUUGUGGAAUAGUUUGGACAUGCCUGCACUAGAGGAUGUGGUGGAGAGAUGUACACUGAGGAAGGUGGAGGCUAUUCUAAAGAACAUGGAUCACCCACUUCAUAACACCUUGAUGGAACAAAGGGCCAAUGGUGGUGGACAGCUCCUCUCUCUUCGCUGCAGGACAGAAAGAUUCAGAAGAUCUUUGGUACCAACAGCGAUUAGACUUUACAAUUCUUCUAUAAACAGUAGAUGACUUUUUGUGACAUAACAUAUGAGACUACAGACAAUUGAAUUUCCCUUCGGGGACAAUUAAAGUUCUUCUUAUCUUAAAUAUAUUUGUAAUAUACUCUUAUGAACACUGGAUUUUUAGUCCUAAUUUAAUUUUUUAAAGGGUUAGUAAACAAGACAAUGGUGACUUCAAGCAUUUUACUCAAUUUGGCUUUUGAUAGAUGUAUAGUUGAGGACAGCCAUUUGGUGGGUUGAGUGAAAGCACGUUAUUAAUGACAUUAGCUUUGGGUGGAUGUUGGUUCAUUUUAUUUCUUUAUAAAAAAAGAUUAAUGUUUGUUUCCAUUGUGUCUUACAGGUAUCCUGUCCAGUCUCCCCACUCUCCCCUAUCAUUUUGGCCGCUCUGUCUUUCCUGUCUCCUCUACCGCUCUGUCUGAUUGAAAAGCCCUCUAUCUUGUGUCCCCCUUUUCUCUAUCCCUCUAGCUAAGUUUUGGCCGCUCUGUCUUUCCUGUCUCCUCUACCGCUCUGUCUGAUUGAAAAGCGAUCUGUCUUUCUAUCCCCCUUCUAUCCCACUCUGACUACUAAAACAAUCAUUCAAACGUGUGUUACCAAUCAUUCAAACCUGUGUUACCAAUCACUCAGAAACGUGUGUUACCAGUCACUUGAGAACGUGUGUUACCAGUCACUUGAGAACGUGUGUUACCAAUCACUUGAGAACGUUUGUUAUCAAAUCAACUUGAGAACGUUUGUUAUCAAACCUAUCUUUUGAGACAAUCUUUGUUAUCAAACCUAUCUUUUGAGACAAUCUUUAUCAAACCUAUCUUUUGAGACAAUCUUUGAGAAACCAUCUUUUGAAAAAAGCCAUACAUUUAAUACAAACACUGCUUUGAAAAAUCCCUAAUUUUGCAAAAGUGUGAUUGUUGUUCUAGGUCCUUCCUGUCUGUGGAUCCAGAGUUUCACCAGAAGAAGUGUCAUCAGCACCACCACAUCUGCGUCCCUGAUUUUUGAAGAAAAAAAAAGUUGCAUAUAGAAUAUUUGAGUUAGAUAUUAUUUCAAGCACAAAGUUCUAAGAUUUAAAAAUUGUUGUUAGUUUGUGUUUUUUCUUAAAGCAUUUAUAUAGUCUUGCCUGGGAUUUCUUUAGAAAACAUUUGAUAAACUAUUGUUGAUAUACACACAAAGUUAUAAAUUAGAUUUUUUUUCCCUAUUUUGAAAGGAAAAAAAGUUUCAUAUAGGAUAUUUGAGUUACAUAUUAUUUCAAGCACAAAGUUGUAAGAUUUAAAAACUGUUAGUUUGUGUUUUUUUCUAAAAACAUUUAUAUAGUCUUGCCUAGGAUUUCUUUAGAAAACAUUUGAUAAACUAUUGUUGAUACACGCACAGUUAUAAAUUUGAUUUUUUUCAAACUGUAAGAGCUGUUAAAUAACCACCUCUCUUUAAGAAAUAAAACAUUUUUGUCUAUA